AUCGCUUCUCGGCUCUCUGAGCUAAGAUCAAAUGUGUAGUAUCUGUUCUUAUCAGCUUAAUAUCUGAUACAAUUCCCACAGGGAAUUCAGAAUAUUAAAGCGAUUUUUGAACCGAGGCGGGAGAUCGGAGCUUGCUCCGGCCCUACCAUAAGGUCGACCUGGCAUUGCAGUGACGUCAGGAUUGGCCUCAUAAAU
rnacentral:snRNA from 1 species